rnacentral:lncRNA from 1 species
GAUUAAAGUCUCAAGAUUCUCCAAUUACUUAUUCUGCGUAAAUUGGUAAGUUGUUGAUGACUCGAUGUAAACUAAUGAUAAAGUCCAUUUUAGUCUUACACUGGAAACCACGCCUUCUCCGGUCAGCCGUCGCCUGCAUCUUCAUUGCCGCAGUCUCCUCCAGCGACGGCGCAGCAACCGGAGGUGGCAGCGAUCGGCUCCAGUGACCCGGGGAUCUUGGAGAACAUGAUGGACAGCGCAAGUCCACUCUGGCUUCCACGGAUCGCGACGGUGUUUAUAUAUGAGAACGACGGCGUACCGGACCCCCACUCGUUCUUUUCUCUCCUGACCACGUGGUGCCUGAGCGACUCACCUUCGCCGACCUCCGCCUCUUGGAGACCAAUUCACGCCUCCCGACGCUCCAUCCUGGUAAUUCCUAAUCAUAACCAACAACUCCGAGGUGAAUUUCACCGUGGACGACUCUCGUCUCAGUGAGCCAGACGCUUAAUUACGUCACCCGAGAGCGCGUUGCACAUCGCGUGGCACAUGUUUCCCCGGCCAACGUCUCCGACGCCCAGUCUAAGAGCUUUUGGUACCCCAUUCUUCAACCGCUUGUCAAAUAUGGUUUGGUCGUCAUCGCUGUACGAGCUGUUUUGUGGGGCGUUUAUAUGUGGUGCCCGAAUAUGUUCAAAUGCUUAGCUUUUUGUGGUAUGCUUAAGCUUUUCGGCGGUAGCAGCACCAGUACCGGCCGGAGGUACCGGAUUACAAGCAACGACGAGAGUGGUCACGGAAGGGCUCGCUGGACUUGUCAGCAACGUUACUGGCGCCUUCACUGGCCGUGCAGCAGUCAGCAACGACGGUGGAAUGGUCGGAAGCGGCCCAAUUGAAGCCCCGGUGAGAGACAGCAGUCCUGGAUUUCUAAGACGAUUCCUCGGAGGCGCUGCUGGCCUACUCGGAAGGCUAGUGGGAAUAGGGAGGGUGGCUGGACAACCACGGGAGAGCGAGGUGGAGCUCGAGUCACUACCAACGCAACCCAAUCCGCAAGAAAACGAGCAGAACGAAGGCGAGCAGCCAGUGGCUAACCAGCCAGACUCAGAAGCUGCCAACCAGCCUGCGCCGGAAGCCCAGCCACCUGCUGCGCCACGGCGUUUUAUUCGGUCAAGGCUCUAAGGCCUUUGACACCUGCAAAGCGCCAACUGGGUUUGUGUCUAUAUUGCCCCAUGGUUUAAAUCCGUGAAUUCUGAUUGAGAUUAGUGUUAAUUCUGAGAUUUGUGUUCGCGUAAGUUUGUGAAUUCUCAUUGAGGUGAGAUUGUUGUGAACUCUCUGAUUGAGAUUGGUGCCAAGUCUGAAAUUGUUGUCUAAAUUUGUAAAUUCUAAUUGAGAUUGGGGUUAAUCUGAGAUGCUUCUGAGAUUGUCGUGAAAGCUAAUAUGGAUA